GCGAGGCGAGGCCUGCGGAGCGGAGGAAGACAAACAUAAAGAUGAAGUGCUUAAUUCAAGGUCACACAAUGUCGGGGAUGGACCUCCAGAUUUCCUUACUGACCUGCAUUAUCUUGUGGAUACCUGAGUGAAUUCCACACCACCCAUUUUAUAGAUGAAACCACUGAGACAUGGAGCAAUUGACUGAGUAGUCACUGCCCCACCCCUGCCUGGAGCCUCACACAUGACUCGCCUCCUCUCAGUGACCACAGGUUGGUUGAGGGGUUUAACAAGGCUAAGAAGGUGAGACGUGGUCUUGUAACACAGUGGUUAAGAAUGUGACUUUGGAGCCAGCCUGCUAGGGGCUGAAUUCUGACUCAGCCAUUUACUAACUGUGUGACCUUAGGUGGGUUCCCAAGCCUGUAAAAUGUAAGCCUUAUGCUGCUGAGGGCCAUCUUGCCACCCUGAGGGAAACGCUGCCUGAGAAUGAAACAAGCAUAAGUAAAAGCUGAGCUGUGAGAUGGAGCAAGAUGAAGGCCACAUGACAUCUUUGGAGCACCUGGAUCUAACUGUGCCUUAAGCUAGUCUAACCCUGAACAUUUCAUCAUUUCAUUGACAUGAGCCCAGGUUUUCUUUUUUUUUGGAUGGAGUCUUGCUCUGUCGCCCAGGCUGGAGUGCAGUAGCUCAAUCUCGGCUCACUGCAAGCUCCACCUCCCGGGUUCACGCCAUUCUCCUGCCUUAGCCUCCCAAGUAGCUGGGACAACAGGCGCCCACCACCACUCCCAGCUAAUUUUUUGUAUUUUUAGUAGAGACGGGGUUUUACCAUGUUAGCCGGGAUGGUCUUGAUCUCCUGACCUCAUGAUCCGCCCGCCUCGGCCUCCCAAAGUGCUGGGAUUACAGGUGUG
rnacentral:lncRNA from 10 species